AGCGGUACGCGAGCUGGGUUCAGAACGUCGUGAGACAGUUCGGUCCCUAUCCGUCGUGGGCGUUGGAAGUUUGAGAGGAGCUGUCCUUAGUACGAGAGGACCGGGAUGGACACACCGCUGGUGUACCAGUUGUUCCGCCAGGAGCAUCGCUGGGUAGCUACGUGUGGAAGGGAUAAGUGCUGAAAGCAUCUAAGCAUGAAGCCCCCCUCAAGAUGAGACUUCCCAUCUAUUCGAUAGAGUAAGAUCCCUCAGAGACGAUGAGGUAGAUAGGUUCGAGGUGGAAGCAUGGUGACAUGUGCAGCUGACGAAUACUAAUCGAUCGAGGACUUAUCUAU
rnacentral:ncRNA from 2 species